GUCCAGGGAUGGGAAUCGAACCCACAAUGUUCCGCUUACCGGGCAGAUGCCAUGUCCACUAGGCAAACUAUUGUUUGACUCCUCCUUGGA